ensembl:lncRNA
GUGAUAUUCCAUAUUUGUGAUGUUUCUUUAUUUUAUAUAGCAUUAAUCCUAAUCUUUUAUUCAUUUAGCAGAUGCUUUUAUCCAAAGUGACCUACUAAUGAGGACAAUAGUAACAAUAACAAAUCAUAAUAAAUCAUAACUAUUUUGUGAAUAUUCGAUAUAUGACCCAGCCCUAUAGAGAGAGAGUGUUUUAUUUUGCUCAUGACUCAUGACAUACAGCUAAACUGAGUCAAAUCGUUUACAGUAAUGGUUGGAGUGCUGAGUCAGAAAACACGAUCAAACGUUCCAAGCCCACACCCUAAAUUACAGUCAGCAACCUGCAUUUCAAACUGCAAAGCUGCCUAGUGCCCACUAUAAUCAAUACGGUUUAAAUUUAAAUUAUCCGCUUGAUGUUACAGUAUUUUUUUUUGGCAAAGUCCUCUUUCUCAAACAUCUAACCCUAUGAAUCGUUCUGCCCCCCUCUCGUUUCUGUUACGGCAUCAUUGGGACAGCGUGUGCCUGCCUCUGUAUUUAUAGGCAGGAACAGAGGUCAGCUUUUAGCUCACUUGAAACACUCUGCCUGAUGCCUGACGGCCUGUCACUUCACAUCACUGAACAUCUAGACGGCAGCACUGAUUCAUCAGCAUUCAAACAACUACAACCACAGCGCAUUUCAUUCAAUCCACAUCCACACGCACUUAAAACUGCUCUUCUGCCUUCAAAAUCCAGUAGAGUUUGGAAGUGAUUCAAGGAGUAACACUACACUAGUAAAUCAGCUAAGAGGAUUUCUGGAGGAUGAAGGAAAUAGAAGAGGUGAAGCAUUUCAAAAUUCUCUUUAGAGAAUCACCAAGGGUAGAAGAUCCACCAACCUCCUCCGAAACCGGAUCCAAACAGAAGCUCUGCAAGGCCAAAGCAGCCGUAGGCUGUUUUCACACUGUUCGAUUGCUGAUCUGAACUAGAGUUUGAUUCCAUCUUCCUCCACCUGCUUUGACUCUUUCAAAUUGCAUUAUUUGGCUCAGAAUCAUGUUGGUUUUGUGUUAUCAAUUACAUGAUAAACCAGUGAUAUUUUAUUAACACUCAAAUACUAUUACAGGUUUUUUUUUAUCUUUUGCAUACAUUUUAUAUUUUUAUUUUCUGCAUUUUUUAAUUUCAUUUCAGUUAAAGUUUUAGAAAUGUUAUUGUAUAUUUAUAUACUGUAAAAUAACAGAAUAAUUACAUAACAGAAUCUUAGCUAGAGCCACUAAAGUGAUUCCCUUAUUACACAUAACUGUUUCCCAAACCCACAGCUUUAUUAGAGCUAUAAGCCAAAGAUGUUGUUACAAACUCUUCAGCAAACACAUCAUUCCUCUGAGACUCCGGAUCAACUAAUCAAUUCUCAUCUCCAGUCCUGACCUGCUAACAUGAAACGAGAGAGCUGGUGUUGAAUGUGCUUUUCUUCUCUGGCCUGACAGGUUCUCGUCCCCAUCUGUCCGUCUGUUUGCGAGAGUUAACUAGGUAAAAGAUAGGCUGCCCGCACCAGACAUGCUAAACCACAUGAGGGACUCCCUCUAUCUGGACAGCGUGAGUCUGGCCUGCUCAGCACAGUCUUUGAGUUGCUGUUGCAUUUGUAGGCAGGUGUAAUUGUGAAAGACGUCAUGAAUGCGUGUUCGCUGUGAUGUGUACUACUAGGGUCAGCAGAGGACACACAACUGAGGAGACAUCACACAUGAAAAUCAUGCCACUGCUUUAAUGAGCAUUCUGUGCUACUGCUAAAGAUAUUUCAUAUUAAAAGGAUGUCCCAGAUUAUGGCCAAUACUGACAAGUAUAUAAUUACUUUUAUUUUGGCCAAUAAUCAAUAAAAGCCAAAUAUUACAAUUCUAUUAAAUACA